rnacentral:rRNA from 1 species
CAGUCAUACCAACGGGAAAUCAACCUUUUGAGCUUGGUCUCGUGGGUUUUGAAGAGUUUCAAAGCCUUCGGAUUCGCGAGAUUGGGAUCUCUUGGCGUACUUUUUCGUACGGUUAGUCAACAUCGGUUUUGAAUGUCAUAAAAUGACUGGAGGAAUGUAGCUUCGAUCUCGUAUUGAAGUGUUAUAGCCUCUGGUAGAUGUGGUGAUUGGGACUGAGGAUCGCAUCGAAUAUCCUUUGGGCUUAUCCGCCUGGCCUCUGAAAGUUGCUUAGGUGCUGAAAGUUUGCUUAUGGUUAUCUAAGCUAACGGUUAAUAGGCUAGAACGUGAUUACA